UACAGAGGGUGCGAGCGUUAAUCGGAAUUACUGGGCGUAAAGCGUGCGUAGACGGCUAUUUAAGUCGGGUGUGAAAGCCCCGGGCUCAACCUGGGAAUUGCAUUCGAGACUGAAUAGCUAGGGUACGGUAGAGGGAAGUGGAAUUUCCGGUGUAGCGGUGAAAUGCGUAGAUAUCGGAAGGAACAUCAGUGGCGAAAGCGACUUCCUGGACCAGUACCGACGUUCAGGCACGAAAGCGUGGGGAGCAAACAGG
rnacentral:rRNA from 1 species